UUAACAAGUAGUUACAUUUUAUAUUAUCUAUAUAGCUAGUGAAAUAUGGAAGAUGGCAUGCAAUAAUUACUUUGAGGAGGCUGAAGAGCGAAAUUAUUAGUGAAUUAUGGCAUGGAAAGGAAGUGACAGAGCAGCUAAUUAGAAAGUAUGAUCAUCAUCUUCAUGAAAGUUUAAUUCUUGGCUUCCAAGAUACUCUCUUCCUUUGGAAAAACACCUUCGAUGCUCAGUUCUAGUGGUUUUAUGGUAGGCUACGCUAUUCAACCCACAACCACUACCUUGCCUGAUCAAGAUUGUAUGGAACAAUGUAGCAAGGAAAGUUCACUGCGAUGGAGCGAGCAAGUGUAGGUGUGUCCAGGGAGCGUUGAAAGGCAUCCUGUGGCUGUGGAUGGUCAUAGUCAUAGCUGGAGGAAGUAUGGACAGAAACAAAACCUCGGAGCCAAUUUUCCAAGGUAAGAAAACUAUCUAAAAUAAUUUCAUGUUUUCAUCAACCGUGCCAACUAAUGCUAUGCAAAUCCAAACACCAAAAUACCAAUAUUGGUAUGGUAGUUGGGCCUUGCGGAUCGACCUUAUUGCUUUUAUUGUAUUUUUAAAUUUAUCAUUAUGUAUUAAAAAUAAACGUUAGGUAUAAAA